GACGAACGCUGGCGGCGUGCUUAACACAUGCAAGUCGAACGAAGUGGCGAACGGGUGAGUAACGCGUAAUCAACCUGCCCUUCAGAGGGGGACAACAGUUGGAAACGACUGCUAAUACCGCAUACUGAAGGGGGGGAUUGCGUCUGAUUAGCUAGUUGGGGGGGUAACGGCCCACCAAGGCGAAGGUCAGCAGCCGGUCUGAGAGGAUGAACGGCCACAAUGGGACUGAGAAACGGCCCAGACUCCUACGGGAGGCAGCAGUGGGGAAUCUUCCGCAAUGGACGAAAGUCUGACUGAGCAAAGGCGCGUGAGUUAUAACGGCCUUCAGGUUGUAAAGCUCUUUUAAUCGGGACGCGGUACCGGAAUAGAAAGCCACGGCUAACUACGUGCCAGCAGCCGCGGUAAUAC
rnacentral:rRNA from 1 species